GACGAACGCUGGCGGCGUGCUUAACACAUGCAAGUCGAACGGAAAGGCCCUGCUUGCAGGGUACUCGAGUGGCGAACGGGUGAGUAACACGUGGGUGAUCUGCCCUGCACUUCGGGAUAAGCCUGGGAAACUGGGUCUAAUACCGGAUAGGAGCCAUUUUUAGUGUGAUGGUUGGAAAGUUUUUUCGGUGUAGGAUGAGCUCGCGGCCUAUCAGCUUGUUGGUGGGGUAAUGGCCUACCAAGGCGGCGACGGGUAGCCGGCCUGAGAGGGUGGACGGCCACAUUGGGACUGAGAUACGGCCCAGACUCCUACGGGAGGCAGCGGUGGGGAAUAUUGCACAAUGGGCGCAAGCCUGAUGCAGCGACGCCGCGUGGGGGAUGACGGCCUACGGGUUGUAAACUCCUUUCGCUAGGGACGAAGCUUUUUGUGACGGUACCUAGAUAAGAAGCACCGGCUAACUACGUG
rnacentral:rRNA from 1 species